rnacentral:rRNA from 1 species
CGAGGGAGGGUUGCUCGGGAGCUUGCUCCCGGGUCCAACUCUACCGGCGAACGGGUGAGUAACACGUGGGCAACCUACCCCGAAGACGGGGAUAACCUCGGGAAACCGGGGCUAAUACCCGAUACCCUGUGCGGGUCGCAUGGCCUGCAGAGGAAAGGGUUCCGAAAGGUUCUGCUUCGGGAUGGGCCCGCGGCGUAUCAGCUAGUUGGUGGGGUAACGGCCCACCAAGGCGAUGACGCGUAGCUGGCCUGAGAGGGUGGUCAGCCACACUGGGACUGAGACACGGCCCAGACUCCUACGGGAGGCAGCAGUUGGGAACCUUGGGCAAUGGGCGAAAGCCUGACCCAGCGACGCCGCGUGCGGGAUGAAGGCCUUCGGGUCGUAAACCGCUGUCAGGGGGGAAGAAGCCGGCUUGCCGGUGACGGUACCCUCAGAGGAAGCCCCGGCUAACUACGUGCCAGCAGCCGCGGUAAGGCGUAUGGGGCGAGCGUUGGCCGGAUUUCUGGGCGUAAAGCGCGUGCAGGCGGCCCGUUAGUCGCGUGUGAACCCUUCUGCUCACCGAAUGAGGCCCGGGAGACUGGCGGCUUGAGGCGGUGAGGGGGUGGAAGCCCGGUGUCCUCUCAACGUGUAGAACCUUAACCACGACUAGCUGAACGCCGCACCCCACCCGAAUAACUUUUCGCAAACUUGGUCUGCGAACAUGCUA